rnacentral:rRNA from 1 species
UACGGGGGGUGCGAGCGUUGUCCGGAAUCACUGGGCGUAAAGGGCGCGUAGGUGGUCUUAUAAGGGUGUGGUGAAAGCCCGGGGCUCAACCCCGGGUCGGCCGUGCCGACUGUAAGACUAGAGUGCUGUAGGGGCAGGCAGAAUUCCAGGUGUAGCGGUGAAAUGCGUAGAUAUCUGGAGGAAUACCGGUGGCGAAGGCGCAUCCUGGACCGGCAUUGACGCUGAGGAGCGAAAGCCAGGGGAGCAAACGGGG